AGCAGCCGCGGUAAUUCCAGCUCCAAUAGCGUAUAUUAAAGUUGUUGCAGUUAAAAAGCUCGUAGUUGAAUUUCGGGAUCAAUAUAUCGGUCGUGCCAUUGGUACGUACUGGUAUCAUUGGUUUCCCUUCCUUCGACGAACCAUGAUGUCAUUAAUUUGGCGUUAUGGGAAGUUAGGACUGUUACUUUGAAAAAAUUAGAGUGUUUAAAGCAGGCUUUAGCUUGAAUACAUUAGCAUGGAAUAAUGAAAUAGGACGUUCGAACCUAUUUUGUUGGUUUCUAGGAUCAACGUAAUGAUUAAUAGGGAUAGUUGGGGGGCAUUAGUAUUCAAUUGUCAGAGGUGAAGUUCUUGGAUUUAUUGAAGACUAACUACUGCGAAAGCAUUUGCCAAGGAUGUUUUCAUUAAUCAAGAACGAAAGUUAGGGGAUCGAAGACGAUCAGAUACCGUCGUAGUCUUAACCAUAAACUAUGCCGACUAGGGAUCGGAUGAUGUUAAUUUUUUAAUGACUCAUUCGGCGCCU
rnacentral:rRNA from 1 species